rnacentral:rRNA from 1 species
CGGUGGGGUAUUCUCGUCAUUGGGCGAAGCCUGAUGCAGCCACGCCGCGUGAGUGAUGAAGGCCUUCGGGUUGUAACCCCUUUUGUCUGGGACGAUGCUGGAGGUACCCUAAGAGUAAACCCGGCUCACUCCGUGCCAUCACCCCCGGUUAUCAAAUCAGGG